rnacentral:rRNA from 1 species
AGUGAACGCUGGCGGUAGGCCUAACACAUGCAAGUCGAACGGCAGCACAGGAGAGCUUGCUCUCUGGGUGGCGAGUGGCGGACGGGUGAGGAAUACAUCGGAAUCUACUCUGUCGUGGGGGAUAACGUAGGGAAACUUACGCUAAUACCGCAUACGACCUACGGGUGAAAGCAGGGGAUCUUCGGACCUUGCGCGAUUGAAUGAGCCGAUGUCGGAUUAGCUAGUUGGCGGGGUAAAGGCCCACCAAGGCGACGAUGCGUAGCUGGUCUGAGAGGAUGAUCAGCCACACUGGGACUGAGACACGGUCCAGACUCCUACGGGAGGCAGCAGUGGGGAAUAUUGGACAAUGGGCGCAAGCCUGAUCCAGCCAUACCGCGUGGGUGGGGAAGGCCUUCGGGUUGUAAAGCCCUUUUGUUGGGAAAGAAAUCCAGCUGGCUAAUACCCGGUUGGGAUGACGGUACCCAAAGAAUAAGCACCGGCUAACUUCGUGCCAGCAGCCGCGGUAA